rnacentral:tRNA from 1 species
UUAAGAGUAAGUUAAGUAAACUGUAGACCUGUGGAGUCUAAAAUCCAUUUUGGCUUUUGAG